rnacentral:rRNA from 1 species
UCUGGUGAUUGUAGCGCAACGGCACCACCUCUUCCCAUCCCGAACAGAGAAGUGAAACGUUGUAGCGCCGACGAUACUUGUCCGUUACCGGAUCGGGAAAAUAGGUCAUCGCCAGAU